GCGGUGCCGGUCCGGUGCUAAGAUGGCGUCUAUCAUGGAGGGCCCGCUGAGCAAAUGGACCAAUGUGAUGAAGGGCUGGCAGUACCGCUGGUUCGUGCUGGACUACAACGCGGGGCUGCUCUCCUACUACACGUCAAAAGACAAAAUGAUGAGAGGCUCACGCCGAGGGUGUGUUAGACUCAGGGGAGCUGUGAUUGGUAUAGACGAUGAGGACGACAGCACCUUCACAAUAACUGUUGAUCAGAAAACCUUCCAUUUUCAGGCUCGAGAUGCAGAUGAGAGGGAGAAGUGGAUCCAUGCUUUAGAGGACACCAUCCUCCGCCAUACCCUACAACUUCAGGGUGUGGAUUCAGGAUUUGUUCCCAGCGUUCAUGAUUUUGACAAGAAACUUACUGAGGCUGAUGCUUACUUACAGAUCUUGAUAGACCAGUUGAAGCUCUUUGAUGAAAAACUCCAGAACUGCAAAGAUGAUGAACAGAGAAAAAAAAUUGAAGGUCUCAAAGAAACAACCAGUAGCAUGGUAGAAUCAAUAAAACACUGCAUUGUGUUGCUACAGAUUGCUAAAGACCAAAAUAAUGAGGAGAAGCACGCAAAUGGACUUAUAAGCACCAUCAACCCCGUGGACGCCGUGUAUCAGCCCAGCCCCUUGGAGCCAUCAGGGAUCAGCACCAUGCCUUCCCAGGCUGUCACACUGCCAGAACCUGCUCAGCUGUGCAAGUCAGAGCAGCGCCCCUCCUCUUUGCCAGUGGGACCUGUGGUAGCAUCGCUGGGGAACCAGACUCCAACACCAAAUAGUACAGGGAGUGGGCAGUCGGCACCUAGCAGCAGUCUCACCUCUCCAAGCCAUGUCAACCUGUCUCCAAACACAGUCCCAGAUUUUUCUUACUCAAGCAGUGAGGAUGAGUUCUAUGAUGCUGAUGAGUUCUACCAGAGCAGUUCUUCCCCAAAGAGAUGUAUGGAUUCUUCAGGGUCUGCUGCAGUCCUGACUCGGAGCAGCACAGGGAGCAGCCUGAAACGUCCAGAUACCACAGAGUCCCUCAAUUCUUCCAUGUCUAAUGGCACAAAUGAUGCUGAUCUCUUUGAUCCUCCCGACGAUCGAGAAGAUGAUGGGGAAGGAGAGUCGGUGGAGGAGCACAAAAGUGUCAUCAUGCAUCUCUUGUCACAAGUGAGAUUAGGCAUGGACCUCACCAAGGUGGUUCUUCCAACGUUUAUCCUGGAGAGAAGGUCGCUGUUGGAAAUGUAUGCUGACUUCUUUGCACAUCCGGACCUGUUUGUCAGCAUUAGUGACCAGAAGGAUCCCAAGGAGAGGAUGGUUCAGGUGGUUAAAUGGUACCUCUCAGCUUUCCAUGCAGGAAGGAAAGGGUCAGUUGCUAAGAAGCCUUACAAUCCCAUUCUGGGGGAGAUCUUCCGCUGCCACUGGGUGCUGCCUGGCACUGAAGAUGACAUGGAGCCAGUCUCAGAAGGACCAGUCCCCUGGGUCAGUAAAAGCAACGUCACCUUUGUGGCAGAGCAGGUCUCUCACCAUCCUCCAAUUUCAGCAUUUUACGCAGAGUGUUUUAGCAAGAGGAUACAGUUCAAUGCUCACAUAUGGACCAAGUCCAAAUUCCUAGGAAUGUCUAUUGGGGUCCAUAACAUAGGGCAAGGGUGUGUUACAUGCCUAGAUCAUGAUGAACACUAUAUUUUGACUUUUCCUAAUGGCUAUGGAAGGUCUAUUCUCACUGUGCCAUGGAUAGAGCUUGGGGGGGAGUGCAGCAUCAAUUGCUCCAAGACAGGUUACAACGCUUCCAUCGUCUUCCACACAAAACCAUUUUAUGGAGGAAAGAAGCACAGAAUUACAGCUGAAAUUUUUUCUCCAAAUGACAAGAAACCCUUCUGCUCCAUUGAAGGAGAAUGGAAUGGGGUCAUGUAUGCAAAGUACUCCACAGGGGAGAAUGCUGUCUUUAUAGAUACCAAGAAAAUGCCUACAAUAAAGAAGAAGCUUGUAGCACUCUGCUCCCAUAAAAGUCUCCCUUGCCCUUUCUCUUUGAAGCUUAUGGAAGGAUGUCACCUACAACCUGAAGAUCAGAGACAUCGACGCGGCCACGGCCGCGAAGCACGCGCUUGAGGAGCGGCAGCGAGCCGAGGCCAGGGCCAGGAAGGAGAACGAGACCUCGUGGGAAACCAGGCUGUUCCACGAGGACGGCGAGUGCUGGGUGUACGACGAGCCGCUGCUGAAGCGCCUGGCUGCCGGCAAGCACUGAGGGCCGCGGAGCCCGGGCUGGGCAGAGGCGGCAGAGCCCGACCCCCGCAGCCAUCGCACCGUGCGCGGCCCGGCCCCGCCCUGCAGCUGCAGCGGCUCCUUUCUCAGGGAUUCUGGACUUACUGAGACAGACAAAGCAAUUCACGAGAGGCUGAGCAGCUCCGGGCAGGGACCGGCUCUGGGGGCAGGGGCCGGGCUCAGGCCCUGCUCCUGCUCCCUCUGGAGCGGGGAGAGGCUGGGCCUGGGGCACAGACACUCUGUAACCACUGUGAAUGCCACCGGUGGGAGCAGUUGCAUAAUAAUCCUGGGUCCUACAUAUUUAAAAAGCAAGGAACAAAAUGCAAGGUGUCAUUUAAAUCUCGCUGAUGUUUGCAAUGUGUAAAUAUGAGGGUUCCUCUGAUGGGACAGUUUGUUAGAAAAUGCUACAUCAAUGUUAUCUUCCACCUGUACGAUAAUCAAAUCUUUUGGCAUUUCAGUGUCUUGCCCAAAAUAACUGUUAUUUUGAGAUUGAAAUGUAACCAUAGAUAAUUCUACCCAAUGCAUCUUAAAGCUUCAUAAAAUAGAUUUUUCAAACUUC